UGAUGGAUCAGACAAGUGAGAGACAGGAAGCAGACUAUAAUGUUGUGUUAUGUUAGGUUAUUAUAAAGAUCAUGUCUUGCUUGAAGAGGAUGAUAAGUUAGGGAGAAUGAAAACCCAUCUAACGAUUCUGUCUCUUUUCACUGUUUUGACCAGCGUUCUGAUGAAGUCUGGAGAUGUUUUUGAGGGAACAGUGGGUGAAAAGGUGGAGAUCAGAUGUCCAUAUCCAGAUGAUUACAGAUAUAUUCCCAAGUACCUUUGCCAGCAUCCAUGUGGAUCAUCAGGGCAUGUUUUGAUUAAAAGUGAAAAGUCUGAUCAGGUCGUCACUGAAGGAAGAUACUCUUUGAUUGAUAAUGUGAGUGGAAGGUUCUUCACUGUAACCAUCAGGAAUCUCAGACUCAAAGACUCUGGUGUUUAUUACUGUGGAGUUGAUCAAUGGUUCAGAGACACAUUGAAGAAAGUUAAUCUCUCUGUCCGUCAAGCAACUCCUGUGAACAAACCUUCAAACACCUCUGAAAAGACAAUUACAACUACAUCUACAUGGACAACAACAACACUCACCUCUGCAAUAACUCUACUUCUUGUGAGCAGUUCUCACCAACAGUCAAGUCAAAGGCAGAAUCGUUUUGUAUGAAUUUCUUUGUGUAGCGUGUUCAUACCAGAUUUUUUAAUAAUGACUGUCCUAACAUGUUUACAUGCCUAACAUGCUACAGCAAACUUAAUAAUAACAUUUUGUCUUUCUCUUUCUAUUUCAGUCAGCGUGGCUGUGGUGUGUGCAGGUGUUCUGGUGCUGCUGGUGUUUGGGGUUCUUGUGGCUGUAGUGUUUCUCUGUAGGAAAAGAUCACACUCAACGUCCAGAUGUUUGAACGGUGCCGUUCCUGAAAAUUCAGUUCAAGAUUCAGCAGAUCUCAACCGGACUGUAGAUGAUGUCCAUCACAUCUACGAUGAAAUGGUGACCGAGAACAGCCUGGCUGGUCCAGCUAGAGAUGCCAACUCUUCUGUAAUAUAUUCCACCGUGCAGCACUGUGGUCCUGCACC